rnacentral:lncRNA from 1 species
CUUGGCAUCACUUUUAUCAGCUCAAAGGCUGAACCAAAAAGCAGUGUCAUUUAUUCUAAGAAAUAACUUCUUAAAGGUUAAAGCUGAAAAAUAUUCAAGUUAUUUUUGGAUAACAACUUACAGAGGUAAAUAUAAUCAAGGACUACUUUAUUAUGCAGGUCCAGGGUUAAAAAUUAAAAAGAAGAGAAGAGGAGCUUUGGAGCUGUUGUUUGAAAGAGAGCUAUUUGAAAAUUGAAAUCUACUAGGAAAGAAAAUGCUAAUAUCUUUUAUCUACCAUGUGUAAAUCUUAAGUUACAGUAGAUAAGUCUAGACACAAUAACCCUAAUUUAAAAAAAAAAUUAAAAGAAGCCAGCUCAAUUACUGCAGUUCUGGGAUUUUUCACUGACAUCACCUUUGGGAUACAGAUACUAAUACAGUGAUCCACUUUAUGUAUCCCAAGAGGGCAUGUCACAUUGAAAUGACUGCCUCAAAUCCUGGUUCAAUGGUGAUGCUGAACAACAAGUCUUCCCUGUGUAUCUGUCCAUCUAUGCCUUUUCUCAGAUGGUGGCUUUAAUAUUCUACUAAUCCACAUGAAAGCUCUUGUUUUUGCACAGGAAUUUCUUAUCAGUUCACAUGGUAGCCUCUGAAAAGGCAAGUAGGGGCAUUUGGGAGAUGAUGUUCCAUCUGGAACAAAUUAUCAUUUGUGCUUUUAAAAUUGUGGCUAUAAUUUAUUGUAAUUACUUUUUACAUUUAAGAGAAAAGAAAUAAUGUGGUGACAGCUGCUCCCAGAUUAUCAGAUUAGAUUUUGUGUGAUGUUUACUGCAGACAGAAGACUGAGGGAGAGAAACGUUUGUACAGAUUGAUUAAAAAUGUUUCAAUGAUUAACAUUUAGGUUAUAAUAUUUUAAACCCCAUGUUUUCCUUCUUCAUUUGAUAGAAUGAUAAUGGUUGUGGAGGAAACCCUGGUGGAUAAAUUAGGGCAUUCCUAUUAAUAAUCUAUUAAAUGUUAUUUUUAAAUUGAAUGUUGAGAAUUUGACCAUUGUGAUGGGCCACGUGAGGGCGCUGUUCACACAGCAACAGAUAAUUUCCCAGCGUUAUAAAAUAAAAAUUACCUGCCCUUUUUUAUAAAAAGGAUUUUUUUUUCACUGAAAUCUUGAAAACAGCUGGCUGUAAUAUUGGAAGGAGUUUAUUUUUUCAAUGCUUGUAGACUCCGACUUGCAUUUUACUUUCAUUGCCAUUUUACAGGCCAAAUGACAUAGGAUGAAGGCUGUUCGUAACCUGCUGAUUUAUAUAUUUUCCACCUAUCUCCUGGUUAUGUUUGGAUUUAAUGCUGCCCAAGACUUUUGGUGUUCAACUUUGGUGAAGGGAGUCAUUUAUGGAUCGUACUCUGUAAGUGAAAUGUUUCCCAAAAACUUUACAAACUGCACUUGGACGCUGGAAAAUCCAGAUCCAACCAAAUAUAGCAUUUACCUGAAAUUUUCCAAAAAGGACCUUAGCUGCUCUAACUUUUCCCUCCUGGCUUACCAGUUUGAUCAUUUUUCCCAUGAAAAAAUAAAGGAUCUUUUAAGAAAGAAUCAUUCUAUAAUGCAACUCUGCAAUUCCAAGAAUGCUUUUGUUUUUCUACAAUAUGAUAAAAAUUUUAUUCAAAUACGUCGGGUAUUUCCAUCUGAUUUCCCAGGAUUACAGAAAAAAGGGGAAGAAGAUCAGAAAUCUUUUUUUGAGUUUUUGGUAUUGAACAAAGUGAGCCCAAGCCAGUUUGGUUGCCAUGUAUUAUGCACUUGGUUGGAGAGCUGCUUAAAAUCAGAAAAUGGGAGAACAGAAUCAUGUGGGAUCAUGUAUACAAAAUGCACCUGCCCUCAGCAUUUGGGAGAGUGGGGGAUCGAUGACCAGUCCCUGGUUUUGUUAAAUAACGUCGUGUUGCCCUUGAAUGAGCAGACAGAGGGCUGCCUGACCCAGGAGCUGCAAACCACUCAAGUCUGCAA